rnacentral:rRNA from 1 species
AGAGUUUGAUCCUGGCUCAGGACGAACGCUGGCGGCGUGCCUAAUACAUGCAAGUCGAGCGAGCGAAACUAACAGAUUUACUUCGGUAAUGACGUUAGGAAAGCGAGCGGCGGAUGGGUGAGUAACACGUGGGGAACCUGCCCCAUAGUCUGGGAUACCACUUGGAAACAGGUGCUAAUACCGGAUAAGAAAGCAGAUCGCAUGAUCAGCUUUUAAAAGGCGGCGUAAGCUGUCGCUAUGGGAUGGCACCGCGGUGCAUUAGCUAGUUGGUAAGGUAAAGGCUUACCAAGGCGAUGAUGCAUAGCCGAGUUGAGAGACUGAUCGGCCACAUUGGGACUGAGACACGGCCCAAACUCCUACGGGAGGCAGCAGUAGGGAAUCUUCCACAAUGGACGCAAGUCUGAUGGAGCAACGCCGCGUGAGUGAAGAAGGUUUUCGGAUCGUAAAGCUCUGUUGUUGGUGAAGAAGGAUAGAGGUAGUAACUGGCCUUUAUUUGACGGUAAUCAACCAGAAAGUCACGGCUAACUACGUGCCAGCAGCCGCGGUAAU